UCUUACAGAUGAGCAAUGAGAGUGGUUUUUUGAGAUGGAAUCUACUCCUAGUGAAGAUGCUGUGAA
rnacentral:pre_miRNA from 1 species